rnacentral:rRNA from 1 species
CUACGGGGGGCUGCAGGCGAGAAAACUUUGCAAUGUGCGAAAGCACGACAAGGUUAAUCCGAGUGGUUUGUGCUAAACGAACCUUUUGACAGUCCUAGAAACACUGUUGAAUAAGGGGUGGGCAAGUUCUGGUGUCAGCCGCCGCGGUAAAACCAGCACCUCAAGUGGUCAGGAUGAUUAUUGGGCCUAAAGCAUCCGUAGCCGGCUCUGUAAGUUUUCGGUUAAAUCUGUACGCUCAACGUACAGGCUGCCGGGAAUACUGCAGAGCUAGGGAGUGGGAGAGGUAGACGGUACUCGGUAGGAAGGGGUAAGAUCCUUUGAUCUAUUGAUGACCACCUGUGGCGAAGGCGGUCUACCAGAACACGUCCGACGGUGAGGGAUGAAAGCUGGGGGAGCAAACCGGAUUAGAUACCAGCGUAGUC